AAUUCACGCUGAGGAAAAUUUCGGAACAUUCCCUUGUAACGUUCCCAUUCUUCUUAUAAUGAAUCCCGAUCAUUUUAUUGGAAAUUUGCGAUGUUCUUAUUUAAUUU